rnacentral:rRNA from 1 species
UACGUAGGGUGCGAGCGUUGUCCGGAAUUAUUGGGCGUAAAGAGCUCGUAGGCGGUGUGUCGCGUCGGCCGUGAAAACCUGCAGCUUAACUGUGGGCUUGCGGUCGAUACGGGCAUCACUGGAGUUCGGUAGGGGUGACUGGAAUUCCUGGUGUAGCGGUGGAAUGCGCAGAUAUCAGGAGGAACACCGGUGGCGAAGGCGGCUUCCUGGACCGACACUGACGCUGAGGCGCGAAAGCUAGGGGAGCAAACGGG